UACGUAGGGGGCAAGCGUCGUCCGGAUUUAUUGGGCGUAAAGAGCGUGUAGGCGGCUUGGUAGGUCCGCUGUGAAAACUCGAGGCUCAACCUCGAGAUGUCGGCGGAAACCACUUGGCUAGAGUCCGGAAGAGGAGAGUGGAAUUCCCGGUGUAGCGGUGAAAUGCGCAGAUAUCGGGAAGAACACCUAUGGCGAAGGCAGCUCUCUGGGACGGUACUGACGCUGAGACGCGAAAGCGUGGGGAGCGAACAGG
rnacentral:rRNA from 1 species